rnacentral:rRNA from 1 species
AACGAACGCUGGCGGCAGGCCUAACACAUGCAAGUCGAACGCUGUAGCAAUACAGAGUGGCAGACGGGUGAGUAACGCGUGGGAACCUUCCCAGUGGUGCGGAAUAGCUCAGGGAAACUUGAGGUAAUACCGCAUAAGCCCCUAGGGGGAAAGAUUUAUCGCCAUUGGAUGGGCCCGCGUCGGAUUAGCUAGUUGGUGAGGUAAUGGCUCACCAAGGCAACGAUCCGUAGCNGGUUUGAGAGAAUGACCAGCCACACUGGGACUGAGACACGGCCCAGACUCCUACGGGAGGCAGCAGUGGGGAAUCUUGGACAAUGGGCGCAAGCCUGAUCCAGCCAUGCCGCGUGAGUGACGAAGGCCUUAGGGUUGUAAAGCUCUUUUGCCGGGGACGAUAAUGACGGUA